rnacentral:lncRNA from 1 species
UUAAAACUCCAGUUUUCUUGGUCAUGUUUUAGAGAUGGGCUUUUUUUUUUUCCAUGAGUGCUUCUGUCAAUUAUUUGGCCUUACUAGUUCAUUUCAGUAGUUGUUAGCUCCCACUUUUUGAUAUUUUUUUGAUAUUUUAGAUGGUAUUAUUAAGUUUAUGCCUUUUUCCUUGGAAAUGGAAUAUAUAAACAAUACAAGGAUUACAUAGUGAUGCCAGGAUUUUUAAAUUGCCAAGUAUAGAUACAAGCGAUUCACAGCAAGAGUCACGUUUGCUACACCUUUAGCUAAAAUUUAUUAAAAUAAGAGUACUCGGGUGCUGCUUAUGGAUUUGGUUAAUGUGGUGGAUAUUCAUGGAAGCCAUGGGAUUGAAUUAUUUGUUGGAUAUCAUAGUGAUACAUGAGCAACUUCUCAUUCCCCCCGUUUGUUACAAAAUUAAAAAUAUGUAUUUUAGUGCUAUUUAAUUUUUAAAACAAACUCUGUUUGGGUUCUUUCAGAAUUUGAGACUUGCUAUCCCUGAUUAUUGUCCCCUUUCCAUGAGGGCGUUGAUUGAUCAAUGUUGGUCUGUGCAACCGGACAAGAGGCCCAAGUUUUGGCAGAUUGUGAAGGUAUUGUGAAGGCUUUGGCAGAUUGUGAAAGAUCAUGCAUUUGUGCCUAUUGUUGUCAUUAAUAACUCGGGUGAUUGCAUUUGUGCUGCCUCUAUAUAUAUGAUUUUCUUUUCAUACCAUAACCAUCAAUAGUGCCAUUUUCUAUGUUUAUGUCUCAUGUUUGAAUUCCCCCGCUCUCUCUCUCUCUCUUCUGCAACACAAUAAUACCUUUGGCGAUAGCCGUGAUACAAAGAAAGUUGACAUUCCUAGAUAUGUUGUAAGUCUCUUGAUAUGGCAGAUAAUCAUUAGUUUAUAAUCUACUUUUAUGAAUCGUUCAGUUAAUUGAGUGGAAUCGUAGUUUCAUUUAUAAAAUUAUGCCUCUUUAGUGAAUGCUUUAAGCUUAUAUACCAAACAAAGAAAAACCCACUACUCAUUGUAUCCUGCAGUUUUUUGUGUUUAUUAGACUUUAGUUAGUGCCACGAGCAUAUAUAUUAAGUGGUGUUUCUUUUCUUGUUAAUAGAUUGUACUCCACUUUAUUUGGCUGUUAUAUGCAGUAUAUGUUGUCAGAUUUAUAUGAAGGCUAUGCUUGGAUGAAA